UACGAAGGGGGCUAGCGUUGCUCGGAAUUACUGGGCGUAAAGCGCACGUAGGCGGCUUUCUAAGUCGGGGGUGAAAUCCUGGAGCUCAACUCCAGAACUGCCUUCGAUACUGGAGAGCUUGAGUCCGGGAGAGGUGAGUGGAACUGCGAGUGUAGAGGUGAAAUUCGUAGAUAUUCGCAAGAACACCAGUGGCGAAGGCGGCACACUGGACCACCACUGACGCUGAUGCGCGAAAGCCAGGGGAGCAAACGGG
rnacentral:rRNA from 1 species